rnacentral:rRNA from 1 species
GGGGAGGCAGCAGUGGGGAAUAUUGCACAAUGGGGGAAACCCUGAUGCAGCCAUGCCGCGUGUGUGAAGAAGGCCUUCGGGUUGUAAAGCACUUUCAGUAGGGAGGAAGGUACGUGUAGUUAACACCUGCAUUAUUUGACGUUACCUACAGAAGAAGCACCGGCUAACUCCGUGCCAGCAGCCGCGGUAAUACGGAGGGUGCGAGCGUUAAUCGGAAUUACUGGGCGUAAAGCGCAUGCAGGCGGCCUGUUAAGUCAGAUGUGAAAGCCCGGGGCUUAACCUCGGAAUUGCAUUUGAAACUGGCAGGCUAGAGUCUUGUAGAGGGGGGUAGGAAUUUCAGGUGUAGCGGUGAAAUAGCGUAGAGAUCUGAAGGAAUACCAGUGGCGAAGGCGGCCCCCUGGACAAAGACUGACGCUCAGAUGCGAAAGCGUGGGGAGCCAAACAGGAUUAGAUACCCCUGGUAG